rnacentral:rRNA from 1 species
AGAGUUUGAUCCUGGCUCAGAUUGAACGCUGGCGGUAUGCUUAACACAUGCAAGUCGAACGGAAACGAUGGAAGCUUGCUUCCAGGCGUCGAGUGGCGGACGGGUGAGUAAUACUUAGGAAUCUGCCCAGUAGUGGGGGACAACACGGGGAAACUCGUGCUAAUACCGCAUACGCCUUACGAGGGAAAGUGGGGGAUCUUCGGACCUCACGCUAUUGGAUGAGCCUAAGUCGGAUUAGCUUGUUGGUGGGGUAACGGCCUACCAAGGCGACGAUCCGUAGCUGGUCUGAGAGGACGAUCAGCCCCACUGGGACUGAGACACGGCCCAGACUCCUACGGGGGGCAGCAGUGGGGAAUAUUGGACAAUGGGGGCAACCCUGAUCCAGCAAUACCGCGUGUGUGAAGAAGGCCUGCGGGUUGUAAAGCACUUUCAGUAGAGAAGAAAAAACCAAAGGCUAAUAACCUUCGGUCUUGACGUAACCUACAGAAGAAGCACCGGCUAACUCCGUGCCAGCAGCCGCGGUAAUACGGGGGGUGCAAGCGUUAAUCGGAAUUACUGGGCGUAAAGCGCGCGUAGGCGGUCUGGUCAGUCGGAUGUGAAAGCCCUGGGCUUAACCUGGGAAUUGCAUUCGAUACUGCCAAACUAGAAUGUUGGGGAGGGAAGUGGAAUUUCCGGUGUAGCGGUGAAAUGCGUAGAUAUCGGAAGGAACACCAGUGGCGAAGGCGGCUUCCUGGCCAAACAUUGACGCUGAGGUGCGAAAGCGUGGGUAGCGAACAGGAUUAGAUACCCUGGUAGUCCCCGCCGUAAACGAUGAGAACUAGAUGUCGGGGGGGUUUAGCCUCUCGGUGUCGCAGCUAACGCGUUAAGUUUUCCGCCUGGGGGGUACGGUGGCAACACUAAAACUCAAGGAAUUGACGG